GACGAACGCUGGCGGCGUGCUUAACACAUGCAAGUCGAACGGAAAGGCCCUGCUUUUGUGGGGUGCUCGAGUGGCGAACGGGUGAGUAACACGUGAGUAACCUGCCCUUGACUUUGGGAUAACUUCAGGAAACUGGGGCUAAUACCGGAUAGGAGCUCCUGCUGCAUGGUGGGGGUUGGAAAGUUUCGGCGGUUGGGGAUGGACUCGCGGCUUAUCAGCUUGUUGGUGGGGUAGUGGCUUACCGAGGCUUUGACGGGUAGCCGGCCUGAGAGGGUGACCGGCCACAUUGGGACUGAGAUACGGCCCAGACUCCUACGGGAGGCAGCAGUGGGGAAUAUCGCACAAUGGGCGGAAGCCUGAUGCAGCAACGCCGCGUGCGGGAUGACGGCCUUCGGGUUGUAAACCGCUUUCGCCUGUGACGAAGCGUGAGUGACGGUAAUGGGUAAAGAAGCACCGGCUAACUACGUG
rnacentral:rRNA from 1 species